AUGCUUCACCAGCUUAUGUGCUAAAAUUGGAAAGAUGAGAAGAUCAUCAUGGUCUCUGGGAAAGAAUGACAAGCAAAUGCAUGCAGUGUCUCAUAUUUUU
ensembl:snRNA U6 U6 spliceosomal RNA